GAAGACAGAAGAGAGUGGGAGAGAGAGAGAAAAAAGGGCAAAUGUCAAAGCAAAUGAGGCAAAAUUCUCAAUUGGUAAAUAUGAAUGAAGGGUAUAAGAUAGUUUUUUGGUACUAUUUCUGUAAGCUUGAAAUUAUUUCUAAAUAGAAAGUUUUUUUUUAAAAAUG